rnacentral:miRNA from 1 species
UACCUCAUCAAUUGGAAGGGAUUCUUUCCGGUCAAUGAGAUGUAACAACCUCAUCAAUCAGAAGGGAUUCCUUCCGGUCAAUGAGGUUGUUAUACCUCAUUAACUGGAAGGAAUCCUCUCCGGCCGAUGAGGUUUUUACACCUCAUCAACCGGAAGGAAUCCCUUCCGGUAAAUGAGGUU